AGCGAACGCUGGCGGCAGGCUUAACACAUGCAAGUCGAGCGCCCCGCAAGGGGAGCGGCAGACGGGAGAGUAACACGUGGGAACGUACCCUUCAGUUCGGAACAACCCAGGGAAACUUGGGCUAAUACCGAAUACGUCCGUAAGGAGAAAGAUUUAUCGCUGAAGGAUCGGCCCGCGUCUGAUUAGCUAGUUGGUGGGUAACGGCCCGACCAAGGCUACGAUCAGUAGCUGGUCUGAGAGGAUGAUCAGCCUCACUGGGACUGAGACACG
rnacentral:rRNA from 1 species